CUUUUCCAGUCCAGGCCAGCAUCAGUUUUCCCCGGGGGAUAAAGGCGGCGGGAAUGUGGCUCUCUUCGGGGAGUGUUAUAGCCCACCGUGUAAUACCCUGGGGGGGACUGAGGUUCGCGCAUCUGCAAGGAUGCUGGCGUAAUGGUCAUCAACGA
rnacentral:rRNA from 1 species